UGGGGAAUAUUGGACAAUGGGGGGCAACCCUGAUCCAGCAAUGCCGCGUGUGUGAAGAAGGUCUUCGGAUUGUAAAGCACUUUCGACGGGGACGAUGAUGACGGUACCCGUAGAAGAAGCCCCGGCUAACUUCGUGCCAGCAGCCGCGGUAAUACGAAGGGGGCUAGCGUUGCUCGGAAUGACUGGGCGUAAAGGGCGUGUAGGCGGUUUACACAGUCAGAUGUGAAAUCCCCGGGCUUAACCUGGGAGCUGCAUUUGAUACGUGUAGACUAGAGUGUGAGAGAGGGUUGUGGAAUUCCCAGUGUAGAGGUGAAAUUCGUAGAUAUUG
rnacentral:rRNA from 1 species